GAGUUUGAUCAUGGCUCAGGAUGAACGCUGGCGGCGUGCCUAAUACAUGCAAGUCGAGCGAACGGACGAGAAGCUUGCUUCUCUGAUGUUAGCGGCGGACGGGUGAGUAACACGUGGAUAACCUACCUAUAAGACUGGGAUAACUUCGGGAAACCGGAGCUAAUACCGGAUAAUAUUUUGAACCGCAUGGUUCAAAAGUGAAAGACGGUCUUGCUGUCACUUAUAGAUGGAUCCGCGCUGCAUUAGCUAGUUGGUAAGGUAACGGCUUACCAAGGCAACGAUGCAUAGCCGACCUGAGAGGGUGAUCGGCCACACUGGAACUGAGACACGGUCCAGACUCCUACGGGAGGCAGCAGUAGGGAAUCUUCCGCAAUGGGCGAAAGCCUGACGGAGCAACGCCGCGUGAGUGAUGAAGGUCUUCGGAUCGUAAAACUCUGUUAUUAGGGAAGAACAUAUGUGUAAGUAACUGUGCACAUCUUGACGGUACCUAAUCAGAAA
rnacentral:rRNA from 1 species